GGGAAUGUGGCUUAGUGGUAGAGUGCUUGCUUAGCAUGCAUGAAGCCCUGGGUUCGAUUCCUCAGUACUA
rnacentral:tRNA from 1 species